rnacentral:rRNA from 1 species
CCUACGGGCGGCAGCAGUAGGGAAUAUUGCUCAAUGGGGGAAACCCUGAAGCAGCAACGCCGCGUGGAGGAUGAAGGUUUUCGGAUUGUAAACUCCUUUUGUUAGAGAAGAUAAUGACGGUAUCUAACGAAUAAGCACCGGCUAACUCCGUGCCAGCAGCCGCGGUUAUACGGAGGGUGCAAGCGUUACUCGGAAUCACUGGGCGCAAAGAGAGCGUAGGCGGGAUAGCAAGUCAGAUGUGAAAUCCUAUGGGUUAACCAUAGAACUGCAUUUGAAACUGUUAUUCUAUGGUAUGGGAGGGCGAGGUAGAAUUCUUGGUGUAGGGGUAAAAUCCGUAGAGAUCAAGAGGAAUACUCAUUGCGAAGGCGACCUGCUAGAACAUAACUGACGCUGAUGCGCGAAAGCGUGGGGAGCAAACAGGAUUAGAUACCCUUGUAGUC